UGGGGAAUAUUGGACAAUGGGCGAAAGCCUGAUCCAGCCAUGCCGCGUGUGUGAAGAAGGUCUUCGGAUUGUAAAGCACUUUAAGUUGGGAGGAAGGGCAUUAACCUAAUACGUUAGUGUUUUGACGUUACCGACAGAAUAAGCACCGGCUAACUCUGUGCCAGCAGCCGCGGUAAUACAGAGGGUGCAAGCGUUAAUCGGAAUUACUGGGCGUAAAGCGCGCGUAGGUGGUUUGUUAAGUUGGAUGUGAAAGCCCCGGGCUCAACCUGGGAACUGCAUCCAAAACUGGCAAGCUAGAGUACGGUAGAGGGUGGUGGAAUUUCCUGUGUAGCGGUGAAAUGCGUAGAUAUAGGAAGGAACACCAGUGGUGAAGGCGACCACCUGGACUGAUACUGACACUGAGGUGCGAAAGCGUGGGGAGCAAACA
rnacentral:rRNA from 1 species